UACAGAGGUCCCAAGCGUUGUUCGGAUUCACUGGGCGUAAAGGGUGCGUAGGCGGUCGGGUAAGUCUGAUGUGAAAUCUCACAGCUUAACUGUGAAACUGCAUUGGAUACUAUUCGGCUUGAGAGUUGGAGGGGGGACUGGAAUUCCUGGUGUAGCGGUGAAAUGCGCAGAUAUCAGGAGGAACACCGGUGGCGAAGGCGGGUCUCUGGGCCGUUACUGACGCUGAGGAGCGAAAGCGUGGGGAGCGAACAGG
rnacentral:rRNA from 1 species